AUGUAUUCAAUCCCAAAUGAUACAUAGAACAUUGUUAUGUAACUAAAACAAAGAAGUUAUAGUCUUCACUAAAACCUGUGUUUUGGUCAAAUUUUGUCAAGUGAAAUGAAACUUCAAAUGAUAGGUCCCGUUAAUAAUGAAAAAUUAUAUGAAAUUACAGCUAGAAUGUAUAAACAGUAAUGAUAUACUUCUAUGUGUCCCUAUAAAUCCUUAUCUUUUAUGUGGUUUGUAAGUAUACAAAAAGAGAGAUGUAAAAUGCUAAACGAAUGAGUCAUUUCUUGCGUAUUAAUCUCAGAACUUGUAGCCUACUACUCAGCCUACCACUCCUGCUGGGCUGAAGGGGUUAAAACACUUACCUUUCACCAGCACCGGGCUCCCUCGGCGCUGGGGAACUCUCCUCCUCCUGCCGACGUCAGCGCCAAAUGCCCUUGGGCGGUAAGAGCGCAUUCAAACUGCCCAUAGGAAAGCCUUUCUCAAUGCUUUCCUAUGGACGUCCAGCGAAUCACAGUGAGAAGCGCGGAAGUGCCUCUAGCAGCUGUCAGUGAAAUAGCCACUAGAGGCGGGAUUAGCCCUAGUGUAAACAUAGCAGUUUCUCUAUGAGCUAGGUAAUAGCAACACUUCUGGAGGGGAUAACCCUAGUAGGUGACAUGAGUAGUCUUACUAGAGAUAUAUAUAUCUAUAUAUAUAUACACACAUUUUUCAUUUGAUUUAAACUUCAUACUGAUUUUGGAACUAGUGUUUCAACUAUCCUGACAUUUAAUAAUUUUGGAAUUCUAACAUCAGGGAGACGUCUGUAGGGUCGAUUAGGGUAACCAUGUAAGAAACCUUCAUGAUGGUAAUCUCUUACAUCUCUCUUUCCAAGCAUUCGAACAAAUUACUGUCAAUUCAAGAAAAGGCAAUUUUAAUACAAUAAUUCAAAAAAUGGAAUUGAGAUGGAUCCAUCAGUUCGUGACUCUGUCCCCACCGGGACUUAAUGAAGAAUUUAAUUUUACGCCUUUUAUCCAUCGCUAAACACCUAAUGAUGUGAAAUCAAACAUUACAAUGUUAUUGAAUUUAAUCAAUAACUUCUAUUGAAUUAUUAGCAAGUGUAAGUUAAAUAAAAAAAAAUAUAUAUAUUUUUGAGGGCAUUAGUUGGAGCUAAUUAACCUCGCUAAGCAUCCUCCUGGUGUGUUUUUUACAACUUUCGUUAACAUUAAGUGUACCACUUUUGGACAUGAGUUGUCUUAUUAAAUAUAUAUACACACAUUUUUAAUUUGAUUGGAACUUCAUAUUGAUUUUGGAACUAGUGUUUCAACUAUCCUGACAUUUAAUCAAUUUCGAAUUGUAACGUCAGGGAGACGUCUGUAGGGUCGAUUAGGGUAUGUUAGACGAAUAAGGUUCCGUGCCACAAAUCUACAUUAUUUGUGGGUAGACUAUAAGUUGGCGCUGUAUGUGAAAAGUAGCCCAUGUGAUGCUUCUGUUUCAAUGUACACCAAACAGUUUUUAGCUUUAUACAUAGAAUUACAUUGCCAUUGGUCUGUAAAGUAUGUGCACAUGUUUUUAUGUAUAAUUGCAAAACCUAAUUCCUAUCUGAUCUAAUUAAGUAAGGUACACCUGACAAAUACAGUUCUGUAUCAUGAGUUCAUACCUACGGAGUAGUACGCUACAAGUUCUUUGAUUUAAAUGCAGAAAAGAACUCAUUCGUUCAGCACUUAACAUCUCUCCUUUUGUAUACUUACAAACCACAAAAAAGAUAAGGAUUUAUAGCGACACAUAAGUAUAUCAUUACUGUUUUUACAGCAUAUCUUUAUAAUAUUCUGGCUGUCAUUUGAAAUAACUGUAUCAAAGUGUAGGAAUGGCAAUGCCUUCCUGUCUCUCUCCCUCCUUUUUAUUAUGAUCGGACCCAACUAUCAUUUGAUGUUUCAUUUCACUUGAUACAAUUUGAUUAAAACACAGUGUGGCGAAACCGACCUCGCCACUGGGCAUUGGAGAAGACUGAUUGCCAGCCUCCUGCCAUGUGACUAUGGCCCCUGGGAUGUAUUGCCCUUUAAAGACAUGUUGUGCUGCUGCUGGCCCUUUAAGAACCAUCUGGGGACAUACUGUGGAGUUACUGGGUGGCCACCAUUUCCUGAGAACAAUGGAUGAAGCACAUGGUAAGAACAAUGGAUGGCGGACAUUUUAACUCACAGACCCUGUUUGGACUUUUCAACACGGUGCCAUCUCGCCGGUAUUUGGUGCACAGAGACAUCGUGCAGUGGUUUUGGACUAUACAACAGGGGACACAUUAUACAGUAAUUGUUUUUCAUUUAGCCUGCAUAUGUUCUGGGGAAUCUGCAUUAAACUGUAUCUUCCAAAGUACUGAAUGGAUCUGGGUGAAUUUUGGAUAUGUGGUUCACCCAGAUCCCCCAGUUCCAAGGAUAUACUAUGGGGUUAGUGCAUGUUUUGGGGUCCCUGUGAUGUGUUUUAUGAUACUGUAUUUCUCUGCCUGUGAUAAUUAGAUUAACCAUUGUGUUCAGUAAUCAUAUCACAGGCAGACGGGAGGAUUUUGUGUGGGAGUGUCUGUGUGUAUUGUACAGAUUGAUUGGUUGUGCUGUAAAACACUGUGGGCAGUACUAAGUUUGUGGAUUGGGAAUAAAAGAGGCUGUAUGUGCCAGUACAGUCAGUUCCUGUUUUAACCCUCAAAGUGAAGUGUCGUCUCAUUAUUGGGGGAGGAUUUAUUGUAUGCUGUUCCAGUUUUACUGCUAGGAGUGUAAACCUAUUCGCAUGGUUUUUCCUAUUCGGCCGUAUACAACAUUCAUAUGCUUGAGAGCAUUCAUAUGCUUUGCCGGUUCGGUGGUUGUGGUGUCUGCUGCAGUGCUUGGAGUCCUCAGGAAGGGCUAGGAGCAUCCUUCAACGGAGGUACCCAGUCGGGGUGCCAGGUGAUCCGUUACACACAGAUUUUAGUGAAGACUAUAACCUCUUCGUUUUAGUUACAUAUCAAUGUUCUAUGUAUUAUUUGGGAUGGAGCACAUUUAACGUAAAAACUAAUAUGGUCUUAAUAUGCCUUUAUACCAAAUGUGCGUUCUUCCUCUGGAGGAUAAAACAACAAUAUAAUAAUAUGAGUAACAAUUCACUAAUGACUUGAGAAUAUCAUUUUUAUAAUCCACUAUUUUAAUGCUGAUAUCUCAUCACUGUUACUGUUUCAUACAUGUUUAAAUCUAUGCAUAAGGGGAAAUAAAAGUUUGUAAUCUGAAUGUGCCUUUCCUGGUUAAAUACUUUGUUGUUAUUAAUGCCUUAAUAACCAUUCUUUUUUAAUGCCCACGAUCAUCCGCUUUAUGUAAAUUAUAUACAAACACAAAGAUAAAGCACCGUGCUUACAGCAGCAGUAGCUUAGUAUCCAACAGCUUAAAAUACAUAGUAAAAACAAAGAGAACGUUACCUGCGCUCUGGCCUAAACUAUGUAUUUUAAGCUGUUGGAUACUAAGCUGCUGCUGCUGUAAGCGCUGUGCUUUAUCUUUGUAUAUGAAUUUUGUAUCACACAGCUAUGUUACAUUGCUGCCAGCCUCCCCACGUUUGUCUUAUUAAGAGUUUAUAAGUAUGUAGGGGCAGCACCCCUUCCUGUCUCAUCAGAGAAAUUUGCCUUUUAGCUGAUAUCAGCAAGGUGAUUUGUAUGUGUUAUAGCCCUAUUCAGGGUUAAGUAUGUAGGGGUUUAUAAAAUACCCCUUUAUGUCUCUGUAGAGAUGUUUACAUUUUGUCUGAUACCAGAAACGUUUAUUGUAUGUGUAGAAACCCUAUAAAGGGUUAAAUGUGAAAGGGUUUAGAAAAUACCCCUUCCUGUCUCAUUGGAGAUUCUUGGCUGAUAUCAGCAUAUCUAAUGGCUAGUGUAGGACUCACCUAUUGAGGCUUGCCUUGACGUGGCAGGUGAGCUUAUAUAUUCAAAUGUCCACUGGAAUAAAACUAAAGAGCCUCCAUUUUGUCCUUAUGUAAAUUAUAGAAUUUUGUAUACAAGAAAUAUAGUUAAUUUGGAUAAACAUUAAUUUGUCGGCAGUUUCGAAAUAGUUUAGUUGACUGUCCCCCUAAUAGCAGCUGUUGAACUAAUUUUCCGACUGGGUAUCCACAAUUUAAUUACGUCAUAUCCGAGAAAGUGCAUUGGUGUUUGCAAUUUUGAAUUGCACCAAUCAAAGGUGAUUUCCUCAAAUAACUAUUUACUGGGGAUUUACUAGGUGCCCUCAAAGGCACAGAUAGGUCUGGGAUUACAAUGGCAACAGUUUAGAGGUACCAUAUCUGUAUAUAUAUUUUUCGAUUAUAAGAAUCACAUUAUCUCAUUAUUUUGAUUAGAUAAUCUCUCUCUCUCUCUCUCUAUCUAUCUAUCUAUCUAUCUAUCUAUCUAUCUAUAUAUUUGUUUUACUGACCCAUGCUGUUUCUUAGAUACUAUGUUUAGGUGAUAAACCUCCCACAAUUUCUAUAUUCUGUCUCUUUUUCUUUUUCUAAGAGCUUUAGCUAUAACAGUUAUUUUAGGGAAUGUUCUUUUAUUGAGUCUAAUAAAAGUUAAGUUUUAAAUAUAUUCACUAACUUCCACUGUCCAAAUCCUGAAUGUAGCACACUUCAUUCUAAUUUGCUUGUUUCAACUACUCGGGUUAGCUCCUUCAGGAGUGUUGCUAUUAUCUAGCUCAUCUCUCGUCUUUUUUGUUACUUUGUAAUUAGAUUCAUAAUGUACACUCUGUAAAUACAGUCUUUGAAAUACAAUAGUUCAGAAAUGUUUUUGCAUAACUUUUUUUUGUUUUUUUCCCCCCACUAUAAAUGUAAAGGCAAAAUGGAGGUCACUUCACUGGGUUAUCACGGGUUCACAAAAGGGUCAGUCUAGUAUAAUCCAGUAAUGUUUAUUAGUACAUAUAUUGACAAAUUGUAAACGGAGUGGAGGGC